rnacentral:rRNA from 1 species
UACGUAGGGUGCGAGCGUUAAUCGGAAUUACUGGGCGUAAAGGGUGCGUAGGCGGUUUGAUAAGUCUGAUGUGAAAUCCCCGGGCUCAACCUGGGAACGGCAUUGGAGACUGUCAAGCUAGAGUGCGUCAGAGGGGGGUAGAAUUCCACGUGUAGCAGUGAAAUGCGUAGAGAUGUGGAGGAAUACCGGUGGCGAAGGCGGCAUCCUGGACCGACAUUGACGCUGAACGGCGAAAGCUAGGGGAGCAAACGGG